AGUAUGAUGCGUGUGUCCGCUGUAAGGCGAGUAUGUGCGUGUUGUGCUCCAUUUUUGGGUGGUAUGCGCUUUCUUAAUUGAAGGUGUAAGGAUCCCAAACGUUUACCUUGAAAAAAUUAGAGUGUUCAAAGCAGGCGAUUUGCUUGAAUAGAUUAGCAUGGAAUAAUGAAAUAGGACGUUCGAUCCUAUUUUGUUGGUUUCUAGGAUUGACGUA
rnacentral:rRNA from 1 species